CGCAUACGUCCUACGGGUAGAAAGCAGGGGCAUCUUCGGACCUUGCGCUAUCGGAUGAGCCUAUGUCGGAUUAGCUUGUUGGUGAGGUAAUGGCUCACCAAGGCGACGAUCCGUAGCUGGUCUGAGAGGAUGAUCAGCCACAUCGGGACUGAGACACGGCCCGAACUAAUACGGGAGGCAGCAGUGGGGAAUAUUGGACAAUGGGCGAAAGCCUGAUCCAGCCAUGCCGCGUGUGUGAAGAAGGCUUUCGGGUUGUAAAGCACUUUCAGUGAGGAAGAAGGCCUUGGGGCUAAUACCCCCGAGGAAGGACAUCACUCACAGAAGAAGCACCGGCUAACUCCGUGCCAGCAGCCGCGGUAAUACGGAGGGUGCGAGCGUUAAUCGGAAUUACUGGGCGUAAAGCGCGCGUAGGCGGCGUGAUAAGCCGGUUGUGAAAGCCCCGGGCUCAACCUGGGAACGGCAUCCGGAACUGUCAGGCUAGAGUGCAGGAGAGGAAGGUAGAAUUCCCGGUGUAGCGGUGAAAUGCGUAGAGAUCGGGAGGAAUACCAGUGGCGAAGGCGGCCUUCUGGACUGACACUGACGCUGAGGUGCGAAAGCGUGGGUAGCAAACAGGAUUAGAUACCCUGGUAGUCCACGCCGUAAACGAUGUCGACUAGCCGUUGGGGUCCUUGAGACCUUUGUGGCGCAGUUAACGCGAUAAGUCGACCGCCUGGGGAGUACGGCCGCAAGGUUAAAACUCAAAUGAAUUGACGGGGGCCCGCACAAGCGGUGGAGCAUGUGGUUUAAUUCGAUGCAACGCGAAGAACCUUACCUACCCUUGACAUCGUGCGAACUUUCCAGAGAUGGAUUGGUGCCUUCGGGAACGCACAGACAGGUGCUGCAUGGCUGUCGUCAGCUCGUGUUGUGAAAUGUUGGGUUAAGUCCCGUAACGAGCGCAACCCUUGUCCCUAUUUGCCAGCGAUUCGGUCGGGAACUCUAGGGAGACUGCCGGUGACAAACCGGAGGAAGGUGGGGACGACGUCAAGUCAUCAUGGCCCUUACGGGUAGGGCUACACACGUGCUACAAUGGCCGGUACAAAGGGUUGCGAAGCCGCGAGGUGGAGCUAAUCCCGGAAAGCCGGUCUCAGUCCGGAUCGGAGUCUGCAACUCGACUCCGUGAAGUCGGAAUCGCUAGUAAUCGUGAAUCAGAAUGUCACGGUGAAUACGUUCCCGGGCCUUGUACACACC
rnacentral:rRNA from 1 species